rnacentral:rRNA from 1 species
GACAGAGGGUGCAACCGUUGUUCGGAAUUACUGGGCGUAAAGCGUGUGUAGGCGGUCCACUAAGUCGGGUGUGAAAGCCCUGGGCUCAACCCAGGAAGUGCACUCGAAACUGGCGGGCUAGAGUAUCGGAGAGGUUGGUGGAAUUCUCGGUGUAGAGGUGAAAUUCGUAGAUAUCGAGAGGAACACCGGUGGCGAAGGCGGCCAACUGGACGAAUACUGACGCUGAGGCGCGAAAGCGUGGGGAGCAAACGGG